AACGGCCGCGGUAUACUGACCGUGCAAAGGUAGCAUAAUCAUUAGUCUUUUAAUAGAGGGCUGGAAUGAAGGGUUUAACGAAGUACUUACUGUCUCAUUUAAUUUGAUAUUAAAAUUUACUUUUUCAGUCAAAAAGCUGAAAUAUUAUUGGAAGACGAGAAGACCCUAUAGAGCUUUAUAUUUAAUUAUUUAAUAAAUUUUUGUUAAAAUUAUUAUUUAUUAUUUAAUAAAAUAUUUUGUUGGGGUGACAAAAAUAUAUAAUUAACUUUUUUAUUUAUAUAACAUUGAUAUAUGAAAAAUAGAUCCAGUUUUACUGAUUAUUAGAAUAAGUUACCUUAGGGAUAACAGCGUAAUCUUCCUUUAGAGUUCAUAUUCACAGGGAGGCUUGCGACCUCGAUGUUGGAUUAAGAUUAUAAUUAGGUGUAGCCGCUUAAAAAAUAGGUCUGUUCGAC
rnacentral:rRNA from 1 species